UCUAAUUUUUCUAUAAUGUCUUCUGUGGAAGCUUAUAGAAAUAACAUGAGGCGGUGUCUCUGCCUGUUAUUGGUGUUCAUCACUCUAUCAUCGGCCGUGACACAAGUAGUUCGCCAGAAGUUUGUAUCGGGCAGGACCAACACCCUCACCACUUUUGUCACUUCCACAGCUUCGACAGCCUCAACGACAGUUGUAACGACGAGAUCCAUCUGCGCAUCUCUGAUUGAACCCGUGGCUACAACUCCAUGUCGUCGUAAGAGACAGUUCUGGAACGUCCCUCUUUUCUUCGCACUCGGUCAUCAGGAUGAUGCUUUUCAAUUCCAGCGUGUGAAUCCCAGUCAAGUGCUCAGAGUUGAACCAUCUGUCCUCCCUGAAUAUCGAUACCGUCCAUCUUCGUUUGUUCGUCCAUUUGCUGGCCAGGAGCCAUUAAGUUCACCUCUGGGUCUUCAACCAUCGUUCGACAGGAUGCAACCGGUUAGUUUCCGCGUUGCCGAUCCGUUCUUCGGUGCUGUCAAAUUUUCCGCAUUAUCUGCCAUCUACGCCAACAUUUUAAACAGCCUAUUGACCCCAGCCACCACGGUCACUAGGACAACAACCGUGUUCCCUGCAACGAUAACAAAUACGUUGUUUACGGAAACCGUUACCCUGACGCUAAAUCAAGCAGCCUGCGUUCCAGCUGGAUUGACUAUAUGCCCGGCAGCACCGACCACCACUACCACUCCUUCAACCACUACCACUGCUUCAACCACUACCACUCCUUCAACCACUACCACUCCUUCAACCACUACCGCUCCUUCAACCACUACCGCUCCUUCAACCACUACCGCUCCUUCAACCACUACCGCUCCUUCAAACACUACCACUCUUUAAACCACUACCACUUCUGCAACCAAGAACUAUUUCUUCGUCUGUCUCCGUUUAAACGCCAUGAUCUAUUCAACUUUAUAAACAAUGCACCAUAGUCUCGAGGUAGUCUAUAAACAAAACCACUUAAAUAACCUACGACGCACAUCGACAUUGUUCGACGUCACUGCAAGUUUAAAAAUAGCGCCCUCGAUGCGCAAGAACGUCAGUUUCACUACAAUGUCGUCUCAAACUUGUAAAAUAUUUUGGGUUCUUUGCCUACUGGCAAGUGCUUUUGAAUGUUGGGGAAACGAUGAAGCCCGCUGUGAUUGUGAGCGAAUGAAUAAAAAGGUAGACCUUCAUACCGACCACCUGGCCAACCUUGUAAGCUACAAAAGAAACACGGAAGUACUAAUCGAAUGGCAGAAGACAUUUAACAUAUCAAAUUAUGAACACCACAAUAAAGAUGUAACGCAGAAACUCAAGGGGAUCCAAGAUUUUAUUGCCGAAUUAAAAAUCCGGGCAGAGAAGGUGGAGAAUGAGCUAGUCGAAUACCGCAAGAUAACUCAAAAGUUGGACGGCUGGAUUGAAGGAUCUAACAUCACAAUUGCUAACGUCGUGAAAACAACUUUACAAUCUACUACUUAUGUAUCUGAUGUCGAAGUAAUAACAACAACGCUGAAGCCGGCUAGAGUUGAAGCUCUUACAGAGAGGACCAGACCUCGACAAACUCCUGAACAGACAAUUUUUGAGCAGAUGAAGUUGAUGGUGGCCAAUUUGACGACUGAAAUGGCCGUGAUGCGUAACUAUAAGCUCCCACGUCUCGAAUUGAAAGUUGCAGCAAUCGAAGCAAAACUUCCAGUUAACUGAGAAGCCCUACUACGUCCGCGAACCCCAAACAGAUUUUGUGGUGACGUUCCGGGUAGCACUUGAAUUUCAGUUUUGUUCAAAAUGGCCUGCCUCAGCUUAUGUCUGACUGAAAUUUUUACUGGGAUGGUUUUCGAACAAAAAUGUCUCUAUGUACUGCAUUUACCAUCAACAUAGUGUGUACAAGAAAUUGGCGAACUGCUUUGGCCCAGAUUGAAAUAACGCUUUAAUGAACCAUUUUGUGAAUUUUCAAUAUUUUUCCAAGACGUUGCUUUGCAGUUGCCAUCCCUUUCUUCGGCUUUUUCGCUAAGUUUACUAGAAGAUGUGAAUUAUAUUGAUUGUUAGAUGCAA